UACGGGGGGGGCAAGCGUUGUUCGGAAUUACUGGGCGUAAAGGGCUCGUAGGUGGCCAACUAAGUCAGACGUGAAAUCCCUCGGCUUAACCGGGGAACUGCGUCUGAUACUGGAUGGCUUGAGUUUGGGAGAGGGACGCGGAAUUCCAGGUGUAGCGGUGAAAUGCGUAGAUAUAGGAAGGAACACCAGUGGCGAAGGCGACCACCUGGACUGAUACUGACACUGAGGUGCGAAAGCGUGGGGAGCAAACAGG
rnacentral:rRNA from 1 species